CACACGUACACUUCUGAUCGCGAUGGGCACCGAUCCGGAUCUGAAAUUCCCGACUGCGAUUGGCUCUCCCACAUUUCGUGCAAAGGAGCCAAUCACGACCGGGAAAUUGGAUCCAGAUCGGGUGUGAUCGCGGUCAAACGUAUGCCAUGUGACACGCGUAUUACAUUACCCUUGCUAAUAUCCUACCUCUAAAGCAAGGGCGAAGAGCCAUUUCGAGGCGUAGGCGGGAAGAUAAAAGUUCUUUUUUCCACGUCGGCCACGUCCAUACAGUUUCGCAGGUAUACGGACGGGUAUUUGGACUGGUGUGACUGGAGGCAAUGAAGAAUUUCAUAUGCAGUAGUGUCAUCUCUUGGGCCGUAUUGGCGCUUCUUUUGCCCACAAUAGAAAAGAGAGAUUCCUUUUCUGCCAUCGCUGUCGUUUAUUAUGGGCCAAGUGCAGGAUGUGGCCAUAAACCUGGUCACCAUGGAGCACCCAAGAAGGGGCAAAAUCAUACACAUGGGAAAGGUCAAACGGAUAAUCCCACCAGAAGCAGGGUGAAGCGAGCCAUCGGAAAUGUAAAAAAACACGCUCUGAACGUUACCAAGACUAUGACUGUGAUAGUCUAAACACAAAAGAAAUCCGGAAAUAAAAAUUUUCAGAACAGUGGGGAAAGCCUCUGAGGGGGCUUUCUCUAUUCUACC